CACUUGGUAAACGAGUAGAAAAAAGUGAGGACCACCAUCCAUUCUAACAUCGAGAACUCAUAUUUUAAUUGGAAAGAAAUGCACACAGUUCAAAAUACUAUGUAAUCAAGGUAAGAGGGCAACAACUUUCCAAAUGCUUUCCAUGGGCCAGCAUGGAAACAUAACUCUCUCACCCUGACAGCGAGUUCACACUCUAACACCAAUCCUUGCCCUUGUGAAAAGUAUAAGCCUCAAGGCAAACAAUUCUUCCUUCACAGCUGCAGUUCUGGGUGCCUGAUGACAUAGAAUGACUCAUUGGACUCCUGCCUCUUCUACUUCAUUCUUAUCAUGAGCUCCCCUAGAAGAUGUAGUUUUCCACCAUUGCCAAAUCCCCAGCCAGAAAGAGCAAACUCUAGGAAGCAGCACAGGCUAUACUACUGUGUGAAAACUAAGUAAUCCUCAUCAGAUCAUUUAACUUGCUGUUGCAGUAAGGACUGUGAAUUGGUAGCAAUAAAUAAGGCAUGGGAAAUAGGAGGGAAAACACCAUCAACGGCAACAAAAACUGAAUGUGAAAUUUGA